CCCCCCUGGUAAUGGGCAAAGAGAUACCUUGUGGUUGGUGGUGUUCUUAUAUCAGCCAGGGGCAGAGCAGAUGGCAGUCCUUUGUUCAUUCAGGCUUGAUGCAUGGCUUCAUGGCCAAAGCUGUCUUAUGCUUAGGACUCAUAG